UAGUCCACGCCGUAAACGAUGAGUGCUAGGUGUCGCGGGUUUUGACCCCUGCGGUGCCGUAGCUAACGCGUUAAGCACUCCGCCUGGGGAGUACGGCCGCAAGGCUAAAACUCAAAGGAAUUGACGGGGCCCGCACAAGCGGUGGAGCAUGUGGUUUAAUUCGACGCAACGCGCAGAACCUUACCCGGGCUAGAAAAGGUAGGAAUCCGGUAGAAAUACUGGAGUGCUCGCAAGAGAGCCUACAUCCAGGUGCUGCAUGGCUGUCGUCAGCUCGUGUCGUGAGAUGUUGGGUUAAGUCCCGCAACGAGCGCAACCCUUAUCCCUAGUUGCCAGCAGUUCGGCUGGGCACUCUAAGGAGACUGCCGGCGUCAAGCCGGAGGAAGGUGGGGAUGACGUCAAGUCCUCAUGGGCCCUUAUGUCCGGGGGCUACACACGUGCUACAAUGGGCAGGUACAAAGCGCAGCUAACUCGCGAGAGUACGCCAAUCGCAAAAAGCCU
rnacentral:rRNA from 1 species